AACGCUAGCUACAGGCUUAACACAUGCAAGUCGAGGGGCAGCAUGGUCUUAGCUUGCUAAGGCUGAUGGCGACCGGCGCACGGGUGAGUAACACGUAUCCAACCUGCCGUCUACUCUUGGCCAGCCUUCUGAAAGGAAGAUUAAUCCAGGAUGGCAUCAUGAGUUCACAUGUCCGCAUGAUUAAAGGUAUUUUCCGGUAGACGAUGGGGAUGCGUUCCAUUAGAUAGUAGGCGGGGUAACGGCCCACCUAGUCAACGAUGGAUAGGGGUUCUGAGAGGAAGGUCCCCCACAUUGGAACUGAGACACGGUCCAAACUCCUACGGGAGGCAGCAGUGAGGAAUAUUGGUCAAUGGACGCGAGUCUGAACCGGCCAAGUAGCGUGAAGGAUGACUGCCCUAUGGGUUGUAAACUUCUUUUAUAUGGGAAUAAAGUUGUCCACGUGUGGAUUUUUGUAUGUACCAUAUGAAUAAGGAUCGGCUAACUCCGUGCCAGCAGCCGCGGUAAUACGGAGGAUCCAAGCGUUAUCCGGAUUUAUUGGGUUUAAAGGGAGCGUAGGUUGACAUAUAAGUCAGCUGUGAAAGUUUACGGCUCAACCGUGAAAUUGCAGUUGAUACUGUAUGUCUUGAGUGUACAAGAGGUGGGCGGAAUUCGUGGUGUAGCGGUGAAAUGCUUAGAUAUCACGAAGAACUCCGAUUG
rnacentral:rRNA from 1 species